CCUACGGGAGGCAGCAGUGGGGAAUAUUGCGCAAUGGGCGAAAGCCUGACGCAGCGACGCCGCGUGAGGGAUGAAGGUCUUCGGGUCGUAAAGCUCUGUCCUAAGGGAAGAAGGAAGUGACGGUACCUUAGGAGGAAGCCCCGGCUAACUACGUGCCAGCAGCCGCGGUAAUACGUAGGGGGCAAGCGUUAUCCGGAAUUAUUGGGCGUAAAGAGUACGUAGGCGGUUCUUUAAGCGCAGGGUUUAAGGCGAUAGCUUAACUAUCGUUCGCCCUGUGAACUGGGGGACUUGAGUAUCGGAGAGGAAAGCGGAAUUCCUAGUGUAGCGGUGAAAUGCGUAGAUAUUAGGAGGAACACCAGUGGCGAAGGCGGCUUUCUGGACGAAAACUGACGCUGAGGUACGAAAGCGUGGGGAGCAAACAGGAUUAGAUACCCUGGUAGUC
rnacentral:rRNA from 1 species